AGAGUUUGAUCAUGGCUCAGAACGAACGCUGGCGGCAGGCUUAACACAUGCAAGUCGAACGGAUGUAGCAAUACAUUAGUGGCGCACGGGUGAGUAAUACAUGGGAACGUGCCUUGGAGUACGGGAUAACAGCGGGAAACUGCUGCUAAUACCGUAUAUUCCCUUCGGGGGAAAGAUUUAUCGCUCCAAGAUCGGCCCAUGCCAGAUUAUGGUAGUUGGUGGGGUAAAAGCCUACCAAGCCUACGAUCUGUAGCUGGUCUGAGAGGACGACCAGCCACACUGGAACCGAGACACGGUCCAGACUCCUACGGGAGGCAGCAGUGGGGAAUAUUGGACAAUGGGGGAAACCCUGAUCCAGCCAUGCCGCGUGAGUGAUGAAGGCCUUAGGGUUGUAAAGCUCUUUUGUCAGGGAAGAUGAUGACGGUACCUGAAGAAUAAGCACCGGCUAACUUCGUGCCAGCAGCCGCGGUAAUACGAAGGGUGCUAGCGUUGUUCGGAAUCACUGGGCGUAAAGCGCGCGUAGGCGGCUUUUCAAGUCAGGGGUGAAAUCCCACGGCUCAACCGUGGAAUUGCCUUUGAAACUGUGAAGCUAGAGUGUCGGAGGGGAUAGCGGAAUUGCUAAUGUAGAGGUGAAAUUCGUAGAUAUUAGCAGGAACACCGGUGGCGAAGGCGGCUAUCUGGACGACAACUGACGCUGAGGCGCGAAAGCACGGGGAUCAAACAGGAUUAGAUACCCUAGUAGUCC
rnacentral:rRNA from 1 species